rnacentral:lncRNA from 1 species
GCCUCCAUCACCCCAGCACAUAGUUAGGUGGGAUGGAGCGUCUGAGAGAACUGGAACUUUUGAUGGAAAAAGCCGUGAGUGAUGGGGCUACAGUACAGCUUACCUCACAGGACUGUGGGAAGAGCUAAAUUGGACGUUUAAAAAGUUCCCUGUAAACUACAAAAUCACAAAGAAAUAAAACUUACUAUAAUCACUGUGGAACAGGAGGGAAAGAAUGGUGGACAAAAAACACCUAAAAGCCACAGUUCACAGGAGCUUUCACAAAGAUGUCCUAGGUCCCCGUACUAUCAUUUCUCUAGAGUCCGGAGAACUUCCUGACCCUAGCUCUGCAUCUAAAGCAGGAUUUUCUAAACUGACAACAUUAGAAGAUCCAUGGAUAGUCUUUCAGGGGUUCCUUAGCUUCCUGAAAUUACUUGGGAAAAAAACAAUGCGUGUAUCUAAGUUCAUUUGCUGGGGAGAGGACCAUAGCUUCCACCAGAAUAUAAAGGGACACAGACCCAGAAGAGGGACCCUGCGCCUGCCGUAAAGGGGAGUGUUGAAGACUGUGUACCAAGCAUUGAGAUCCUGCAGGAGUUAGCAUUUCAAGAGGUUAAGAAAGCAUCCAUGGCCAUGUCCAAACCAGCUGGAUCUUCAGGUCAUUUUCCUCCCCUUGGGCACUCCCCACCUAACCCCCACCCACAGCCCCUUAACGGAAUAAUCCAGUAGUUGGCUGCUUGAAAGAUACUGUAAAUAGCUCCAACAGAGUGCAGUUUGGGGCAGCUUCCAAUUAGCCUUCGCUUGCAGUCUUUUGUUCCCUGCCAAGUUUGUGCAGCGAGCAUCCAACGCCCCGCCCUCUGCUUGGCUCAGAGUCGCAGGGCAGGGAGGAGUCAAGUGUGUGAUCAAGCUGAUAGAUGUCAGCUCCAACGUGUACGGAUGUCCCACCUGAAAGCUGACAAGGGGGAUUAAAAGGUGCUUUCGAAACGGGUGUGCCUGGCAGUGUGGCAGUGAAGGGAGCUUGUUUCCCUGGAGAUGCAUCUGAGCUAAAAACAAAGCUGAUGGCCAAUUAAAAGGUAAGUGCCUUAUGUUAAAAGCCAGAACAUUAUACUUCAAUAUUCAUAAUUAGGUAGCUUUUGAAUGACUGAAGAACAAUGCAUGUCCAUAUAUGGGGCCAAUCAGGGCAACUAUAUUUUGCAAUCCAAAUCAACCAAAGUCUAUUUAACCGAUUGCUGGGAAUUACCUGCCUCCUUGUUGGCUGGCUGGGAGGCUCAGUACUUCAUAAAUAUUAGAGCUGUAAAAGACCAAGGAGUUCCUAAUGUGUUUAUUUCAGUAUAAUGAAUUCUUCAGGAAAGUGAUAGGAUUACUGAAGCAGAGCUUGGUAAAAAACCCUACUGAUUUUGGCAGCUCUACUAUUCUUCAGGAGUAGUAUCUAAAUAUGACCGGGGAAGAGAGCAUAAAGAUUAUUCACUUGGGCUCAAUUUUUUUAAGUUAAAUGAAAUAGAAUUUAUCUUUCACUUAUUUUCCAAAUUAUCAGACCACCAAAAUUGCCACUGGAGUUGUACAAAGUUAAAGAGAGAUAUAAAGGAGAAAGUGAGCACUGGAGCAGAAGAUCAUGAUUGACCAGAUUCGAGUGGACUUCAGCACCCCCUGAAGGUUGGGGGCUGGCAGUGAUCCCCUCUUGAGUCCCUCCAAUGUGAUUAUUCUCCCAGCAGAAAGUCAAUUUAGAAUUUGCUCUUAGAACCUUUAAGUGAUGCUUUCAAGUGUUUAUUAAUAAUGCAGCUAAUUUUGGGGGGAUGGGCGAUGGGGGUCGUUCAGUCUUGCCCGAGAGGUAAGACAAUGCCACUUGACAAAUUGAGAGCAAAGGCAGGCCAAAGAAAUGCUCACAGUCACCAAUCAAACCCUUUCCAGAAAAGAACUGAGGAUGAAUAUCUCCACUCCCCGCAAAUGCUCUGUCCACUGGGAGGCAGCAUAGGCUGCUGGAAAGAGAAAUGGGCCAGAGCUCAGAGAUCUGGGUUCUAGUCCCUGCUGUGCCACGGACUUGGGGCGUGUGGUGCGGAGACAGCAACAGAACCCUAGUCACCAAAUGAGGGCAAAAAAGAGAAAAUGAGACAGGAGAUGGAGGACUACUUGAGAGGCAAAGAUACAACCUGCUGAAAGGAAAUCCACAUAGACAAACGUUUGGAGGGUGUGGAAACUGAUCUUUCUAGCUACAACUGACUUUCCUUUGAGGUGGAAAGAGACCACUCCACAGGGAUUUAAAAUAAACAGAACAACAGAACAAACACACUUUAAGACAAAGCUUUCUAAAGUGUGCUUCUAAGAAUCCUCAUCCAGGGAGAAAGUCCUGAGGUCAAACAAAUUCUGAAAAUGUGACCUACUCCACCACACACAUCCUUCUGGGAGAUUUACAGCGGACAUUAACAUAUUAAAGCCCCAUAGUUAAGAAAGCUCUUUAAUUCCCAAUUUCGCAAACUGACUUGACAAGGCAACCUUUCCUCACACGCAAACAGUAAAACAAAUAUUGGCUCCACGGAGCACACUAAGAAAUGGUGUUUUAAGCUAUUAAAAACAGCAAUAACAUCUAGUCCCAAAUUGGAGAGAGAACAGUAUGGAACCACCAUCCACAGUCUUGGGCGGCUGGCUGGUCAAGUGGUUUGCACCAUUUUAUCCACCACCCCCUCCUUAUUCUCUCCGAUCAACAACGUGCCUUUGUGAGGCAGCUGGCCAAGGUGAAAGGUUAAUUCUGUGGCCAUGAAACUCAGCCCAGCUAACAAACACAUAUGGGGUUGAACCUGGUCACCUUGGCCCCAUUAGCUCUAACCAAGUGAGCUGACCAGCCCCAGACAUCAGCCUUAGUUAUAAGCUCUAAGGGAAAUAAAAAUUUAAAGACAUCAGUACGUGGCCUAUGGGCUUUAGCAUAUAAACUUAAGGAGUUUUUUGAAUAAUAUUUGAGAUGAAGGCAUGCUACUUCAUCCAUAACAGGAAAGAAAUAGUCAAUAGGUAAUCUGAUAGGACCUCUGGAGCUACACUCCAGGUGGGUUCAAAUCUCAGUUCUACCAUCUGACAGCUGUGUGACCUUGAGCAAACUACUUAACUUGAACUUCAGUCUCAAAAUCUGUAAAUUAGGAUAAAUAUAUUCCAUUCCUCAAGGAUUAUUAGGAGGAUUAUGUGAAAUGAUUUAUGUCCAUGGACUUCGCACGGUGCCUAGCACAUGAUAAAUAUCAAUGAAUAUUGGUUAUUAUUACUACAUUUCAGAGGACGGAAUAAUCUCAGAAAAUGCAGCUCCCUCUCAAGUUAGCAUCAAGAAAAUGCAAUUUUGAAUUUUUUUUUUUGGUUACAUAAAGUGUUUUUACCAUGUAAUUUAUCAGAAAAUAUGCCUCUUAAACCUUCACUGAAAAUCUCAGUGUGUGGAUGCGAUGGCCUUGGUCAGGUUUUGUCCUUGAGAACAGAUUUCUAAAUUAAUAACUUCAGUAGCUAUAAAAUAUGAUUCAGCUAACUGAAACUCAUUUUACUGGUAUACUCCCAGGAAUAUAUUUCCCAAGGGAGAUACACCCAAUCUAAUGCUAAAUAAUUGCAAGGUAUUAUUAUUUGGCCUAGCUUAGUAUUUCCCACCAACACUGUGACACAGAUCAUUUCCCACCACACAUCACAGGAGCAGGAGAAAGGAAAAGGUGGGGAGAGAGACUUAAGGACAGACAGAACAGCAAGAGGCCCGGAGAAUGGACACAGGGACUACAGGGCACAGGGCAGUAGCAGCAGGCCUCCUGGACUAGGCACAUGGCUCCAUCAAGGACUGGCCUAGACCUGUUCGCACACUGACUCAGCCCCAGGUUUGGAGAACAGCCAUUGGAAAGCUUACUGGGAGUCACACAGCAGCAGCUCCAGAGGCCAAAUAUAGAAAGAGACUUAGCCAACCUUUCAAUCCCUGUCCCACACAGUUCACAUGACCAGAGUCCACACGGACAGGUCCCCGGUUCGUCAUCUCAGGAGACCUCACUGAAAAGGAUUUCCAUGGUGACCAUGUGGAAGUCACCUCAGUAACCAAAUACAAUAACCCUUCGCCUCUCCAGACUCCUGGCUCUUAACCUUUAAGACCCUUCCAGGCAUAUCCGGCCCAGGGAAGCCAAACCCCAAAGUCAAUAGGGUGUUAUGGUCAUUCACAGAAGGCCUGUAGGCUCUCCCUCCCGCUCCUUCUUCGACUUCACACUCCUCCCCUCUUGUGACAGGUCAUUUGUAACUGUCUCGUGGGUUUUAUUUAGUUGUGGUGGGCACAAUUAAAUGCUGUUCUAACUAAGAGAGUCCUUGUCCAGAAAACAAAACCACACAAAAGUCAGUCUGGUUACUUUGGCCACGUUUAGUGAUCGUUUCACAUCAGCACCUCGUCGAUCCAAUCAAUGGUUCAGCGGUUGGCUGUUAAUAAAGCUGGAUAAAAACAAAUUGAUCACAAAAAGGUCAAUUUGGUACCUAACACAUAGAAGGCUAGCAUUUGAACACUAGUCAUCUGUGGGGAAUCAACACCAUAUAAAAUCAAGAAUAUUCCACCUUUACCAAUAGUCCUUUAAAUGAAAGAAGGAAAAAUUACUCCCGAAAAAUAGUUAUUGUUUGCUUAUUUUAUAUUCUUUUUUAUAUCUAUCAGUGCAGAGAAAAUUAGAUAUGGAGGAAAAAAAUGAUGAAUUAGCUUUUUAAAAAUUGCUUGUGGUGAUUUCAAAGACUAUUUCAGCCACAAGUAGAAAUGGAAAUAAAGUGGUCAACAAGACCAGGCUAACCUAUAGAUUGUUCAUAAAAGAAAAAGAAAUGACAUGCAACUCUUUUUCUUAUUUUCGUACGUUGGUUACCACAUGUAGAAAUUGUGUCUGUAAACUUCCUUUGACUAUCUCAGAAAUAUACAGUUUUGAAGGGUCCUCACUACCCAAGAAUAAAGGAAAAAGUUGAACAUGCUUCCAGAGUUCAAGCGACAUGAUCAGGGAAGCCAGCCUAACCCUCCAACUGGUCAUUCCCUACCAAAGCUGUUUAUCAUUACCAUGUGCAUUGUACUGAGGCCCAAUUUAGAUCUACAAAAUGUGUGGGAGCCCACUUUUAUGAGCUGCUUCUACAUUUCCGAGAGUGAAAAGGAAGGCAGAGCAAAGUGGGAGAGCAGACCCUUCAGCAACCAGUUGGCAAAAAUCAAUAAUCUAGGUAGGAAGGUUGCCAGUGCCGCAAGCCACAUGUCAACAGUGACAGAGAGAAUGGGGGAGGCGGGGGCCAGAGAGAAAGAAAGAAGGAACAGACAAGAAAGGUCCAACUGCAGAAAAGGGAGAUGGCUAUGGGCUGAGCUGACGGUGUAAACUGAAAUUCAGAGGGCAGCAUGGCUAGGUACUGGAAGAGCCAUUGUCCUCAGAUCUGAAUAGUAGGCCCCUGUCAUAAAAUAGGUCAAGUCUUUAUCCUUGGUAUCCUUGGUCAAGUCACUUAAUCCUUUGCCUCACUCUCCUCGUUUGUAAAAUGAGAAGGUUGGACAAAAUGGUCUCUAAAGUACACCCACCCUCUCAAUUUGUCUGUCCUGUUUUCAUGUACUUGCAUACACAGGAAAGACCCAACCACUGACGGUCCCAACUUGGGGAAAUAACAGAAAUAUACUUUGCUUCCUGAGUGUUACUUGGGCAAAGAACUGUGCCUGGUUUCUUCUAUUCUAUGUUUUCUUUUUCUUUUUCCUCCAUCAGACAUCCCACAGAAAUACCCCAGAAACAUUAUCCCUGCGAGUUGAUGGAGUUUACUUGCUCAAGUCCUACUUCUUUGGCAAGGCUAUGAUUGCAUGCCAGGUCUCCUUCCUAGGCUCUGAGUGCCCACUGGGAUCCCCACCCUAGGCUCCAGGAGAAGAGAGAGAACCCGACGGGGCAGUCUAGCUGCAGCUACAAAGCCCAGCAUUAGACAGUGCACGCUUUGGAGUCAUCCUACCUCAGGCUGAGAGUUCAGUCAGAUCCUAACACGGAGUUUAAUUUCUCUGUUUCUUCACCAAGGCAACCAAUUUAUACUGUUGUCACCAAAAAGUAUUUAUUUGUUUAUUUAUUAAAAAUAUAGAACACUGGGGCUGGCCCCGUGGCUUGAGUGGUUAAGUUCGCGCGCUCCGCUGCAGGCGGCCCAGUGUUUCGUUGGUUCGAAUCCUGGGCGCGGACAUGGCACUGCUCAUCAGACCACGCUGAGGCAGCGUCUCACAUGCCACAACUAGAAGGACCCACAACGAAGAAUAUACAACUAUGUACCGGGAGGCUUUGGGGAGAAAAAGGAAAAAAUAAAAUCUUUAAAAAAAAAAAUUAAAAAAAAAAUAUAUAGAACACUAACCAUACAGCAGGGGCUGUGCUAACUGCUGGUGCUGGUGCUGGUGCUGGGAGAGCUCGGGGUUCCCUUAUACACAUAGACACAGACCGUGACAACAGCUCAGUGUGUUAAUGCUAGCACAGAGAUCCCUGCCCAGUCUACAGGGACUCACAGGAGGAGCCUGGGAAUGGUAAGAAUAGCUUUCCAGCACUACUGAUAUUUGAGCUGGUGCUUGAAGAAAGAAGACAAGUUUGCCAGGUGGUGUGGAACAGGGGAAUGCAUUUAAGGUAGAGGACACAGCGCAAUGGCUGAGAGUCGGUCAAGGGUGUGAUCAGCCCUGAGGAUAGUGCCAAGUUCAGUGUGAUUGGUGUAAAAUGCUUUCAUUGGCAGUCCUACAUAGCUUCGGGUAUAAAUAUCUAGGUGACGGCCUCAGAUGGCUUUGCCUAUAGGUAUGGUAACAAAGUACUAUGGGUCAAAAAUUAGAACAUAAGGCCCGAAUAUAAGCCACUUAAAUCUUGGAGUCUAACAUAGAAAGAGAAACACAGGAAGAAAAAAUAUAAAUAUAUUUAUAAUUUAUAAAAAUAUAAAUAUAUUUAUAAUUUAUAAAAAUAUUUCUGGAAGAACUUUUUAAAGGAAAUUCUCAUAGUCUUCCGUAGGCGCCAAGCAUUGCUCUAAGAACUCUCUGUAUAUUAACUCAUUUAAUCUGCUCAGUAACCCGCUGAGGCAGAUCUAUUAUUCCUCACACUUAACAGAUCAGGAACCGAGGCAGAAAGUUCAAAUAACUUGCCCAAGGUCAAUCGGACAAUUAAUAACAGGGCCAGGAUUGGGAAGCCGAGAUGGAUUCCAUCUCCAGUACUCUUAACCACAAUGCUUUACCACCUCUCAUGAGGCAGUGGUAACACGGUCACCCCCAGAAGGUGAGAGGGGCUGGGGAGAUGAGGACAGAGGUGGGAGCCCUGUCACAUUCACAAUCUCUUCCUCGGCAUAUGGCAAUGUCCCCAACGAAGUGCCAGGCAACUUUCCACUGUAGAAUCUUUUGUAACUUCGGAUUCAAAACAAACGUAAAGAUAGAAACGGAACUGUUCUAAAAUGUUUAGGGUACAGGUACUGUCCCACAAAAAGGCCACAGGCAGCAGCUUGAAGGGAGGGAGCACAAGGAGCCCACAGACCCAUCAGCAACCCAUCAUGCUCCCUUUCCAUGCUCCCAGCCAAGUGGAGAAGCACAGUUCGACCACAGCAAGGGGAGCAGGGCUGCAAAAGGGUGGGCGAACCCACGCCUGGAAGACGGACCCAGUCACGUGGAAGUCCUUCCUUGUCCCUCUUUCCUUUCUAUUGUCACUUCCUAGUUCAGUCUCAGCCACUGCAGCUGCUCAAUGGCAAUGCAUUAGAAACCAAGACAAUAGCAACAGACCCCAGCAAGAUAGCUGUAAAAGAGACAGCUGCCAGGCCUCCUUCCACAAGAGCACUUCCCAACAGCAAAAGGUUGGCUUGGGCACCCGGAAGUGGAAGGCCCACACAAAAAAGCCCUGCUCCUCACUACCAACUCCAGUGCAAACCCCCACUCUAUCCUCCCUCCACUUUCUUGAAGCAGGAGCCCAUAUAUUAUACCAUGCCAUGGUUCAUUUCAGCAAAAAUCAACUAGCAUUCUUCUGACCUGGGGCAAAAAAUUCCCUCAUUGAGAUCCUGAAAAAUAACAUUACAUCAUGUUGCCCGUGUCAGGUUUAUAAAUGGGCCAGGGGGAGGCUGGGGUGUAACCUGACACUAUCAAAACACUGGCCCUUGGAGAAGAAAGGAGGCCAUUGUUGUAGGCUGUCAGCUCUCCUCUUGCUGGAGGUAAAGUGAGUUGAGAGAAAUGUUAGUGGGAGGCCAGGCCCGGCGCUGGCCCUCACUCCCCAUCUCCUAAGAAAUCAGGCAGCCUUCCUCCAAAACGGGGUUGCCCCCAUUUCCCGCGAGGUGUGUCACCCUCCUUUCCAUUCUCUGGGGAGGGUGGAUGAGCUAAGUAAUUUUUAUUCCCAUGUCUCAAAGCAAAGAAGCAGUUAAACAUAAGAUAACCAAGACCAGGGGCCUUUUUUUUCCCCCUUUUUUUCUGAGCAGGACUCACUCCUCUAAACAGACACCAAAAAGAGAACUGAGCCCCUACGAUCACGUGUACAUGAGAGAAACAAUUUUAUUUGAAAGACAGAAAUAUGAACAUGGCCCAAAGUAGAAAAAACAACAGACCCCCGAGAAGGGUCGAGGGAAGAUCGAAGCGUAAAGCAAGAAAUCCUGAAACCUGAAAAAUAUUUCAAAGCGAAGCACUGGGGUUCGGAUCCAGAGACAAGAAAGUGACAAAAAGAACGUGCACGGGAUUACAGAGCUGGGACAGACACAGAACCAGCCAAAAGACAAAGUGUUGGCACAAAGAUUAAAAACAUUUUAACGGAUAAAAGGAGAAGAAAAAGGAUUUAUGGUGACAGAAAGUUUAGAAAAUAAAAAGCAAGUCAAAUGUAAGCCAGCUUGACUGGAGAAAGAAUUCAUUCUGCUGGUCAAACAUUUAAUUUGAUUUUCUCUUUUCUUUCUUCCCCAUCUUCCAGCUCAGCCGCUAAGCACAGGGGAGCAUGCAAAUGUGCUAUCCAUGGCAGAAUGUGCAGGAGGGCUGACCGCCAGUCCCCACAAGGGUGGUGCCAGCGCUGUGAUCAUUCAGGACAACAGGCCUAAGGGCCAUGGGUGAACCAGGGAACAGAGGGACACAGAGCAGAACUGAUCACUUGUACUCCUCCUGUCUUCUGCCUGUUUCCACCAAAUUGUUGCUAAUCCUAUCAUCACUCCACCAGGAACUUAACCUCUUACAAAAGCGCUCCCCACCCACCCUUAGUGCCUUCUUGGCUUCAUUCACCAGCAAUUAAGAAAGGAGGCCAUACAGACCACUGGGUUCCCGGUUGCUAAACUCUGCUUUUAUGUUAACCUCACCACAUUUUCUUUAGAACACAACAGGGACCCCCUCAACUAAAGUGAAAUGGUGCCCCAUGGCCCAAGUGCAUGGCUCUUCAAAAGAGCUUUCCCACAGAGCCCUGGAACCAGCCCCUUCCCUGGUUCAAAGAAGUGAAGGGGAGGGGCCGUGGACCACCCUCCAAGCCCAGAGCUUGCAUUUCCCUCACAAUUCCAGUCCCUCAAGUCUCUCUUUCAGCGAGGAGACUGUUAUUGGCGCCAGAGCGUGUUGCAUUAAGGCUUGCAGGCUGAUAGCAAGCGGGGACAGAGGGGCAGGGGAGGCAACUUGAGGUGGCAGACACCAUUCGCCGCAGUACUGAACCUAAUGGAACAAAAGGAGACACGCAGACACAGAAGGCUGAGACCCUUGACACAGGGCAUCUGUGAAUCUGCACCAACCCUUUGGUGCAACAAGUUUCGAUCUUGGAAAUUCUCUGACUGUUUCUGUUACUUUGCCUGGAAGCCUGUGCUCUGACACCCCCAGUCAUGAGACUUCCUUCCUUCCUUCUCUGUUGAAGAUGCCCUUGCACCGUCUAACUUCCUCUUCAUCUUUAACCAUAUCCCCCAAUUAAAUUCUUCAUCACAUUUCACUGAACAGAGAUUGAGUGCCUACUAUGGGCCAGUCACUGGAUUAGCUGCCGGGAAUACAGCCGUGCAAAAUCAGAAUGGUCUCCACCCCUAAACUCAUUUGCCUUCCUUCUUCCUUCCCUGUGUCCAAGGUUCUUGACAAACUCAACAGACAGGUUUUAGGUGAUUUCAUGAAAUCCAUGUGGUUCACAGUGAUUUGUCCAAAGAGUAACACUCAGACUCUAGAAGAGGCUGAGAAUGUCAGAGUGCCCAGGGUAAAGGGGGACGGGAAGGCCUCAAGCAGCCUGAGAACAGAAAGGGAAUUUGUGGGGAUGGACAAGGGUUAAAAGAAAAAGGAAGGAAGGAUGCAGGACCACGAAAAUGGUGAUUUUAGGAAUUUACCUGCACAUUUUUUAGAUUGUUAUACAUGUCCGGCCAUGCUUCUAUACCCUCAGGUGUUUAUGUCUCUGAUUAUGAGAAAGAAAGUGCUGGUCCCCUAAAACAAUUGCCUAACUCACUGAAACGUCGUGGGAUUUCAGGGGGAAGGCCAUGUCUAACCAACACCCACAAUUUUGUGUUCUUAGAGACUUAGUCUUUUGCUCUGAACUUCUCACUUGCCCAGAAAAUUCAAAAACACAGUGCUAAGAGAGGCCUCCUGAAAAGUCUGACACCUUUGUCCCUAAAUUUAUUUUCUCAUUAAUGAGUAAAGGGGGAUUUAUUGUUUGAAACAAUGUCUGUUUCAUAUCAACUCUUUUUCCCUGUUUUUCCCUCAGAUAGUGGAGCUCCAAAGAGACCAAGAGCAGAUGUUUUAUAUUUCAGGAGAGAGUGGUCUCCCCCAAUUCCUGAAAGAUUCCUGGAAUUCUUAUACUUAACAAAAAUUAGCUACAGAGAAAGAACAUGAAUCAUGAAUUGGGAGCACAGGAAGCCUCUGGGAGCCAAUCAUUUCUCCCCUCCUCCUACCAACCUUCCACCACCCCAAAGUCUGCCCAUUGCCCAAGGAAACACCCUUCUGAAAAAUGAGGCGUCAGGCUCUUCUAGCCGCCCCAAGAGCAGAGCUAUAUUCUGUGAUGGGAGAAGCCAAUCCCUGUGCCAUAAUCUCAAGAGCUAGAAGUGGGAGUCAGACCCGUGUUCCACUCCCAGCUCAGUCUGGGCUUUGUUAAUUACUCAAGUAAUAUAUAUCUCUAUUACUUCAUCUGUCCAGCAGAGAUCACAACAUAUGACCAAUCUCUCUUUUUGGAGUAAUGCAAAGAUCAAGUGAGAGGCAAGUGUAUCCCAAUAAGUUAAAUACUUACAAAAGUGAACAGUAUUUGUACUCAAAUCAUUGACAUCUGGCACUCUGUCUACAAGGACUCUGAGCUAACCAGUACACUUCGGCACGUGUGGACGGAGUAACAGUCACACAGCUCUGAGGCUGACGUCAGCUGGGCUCUCAAAGGUUGCCCAUCCCUGGUCAGAUCCCUUUAGCACUGCUUGUGCAGGCUGUUGCAAGCCUUUAACCAUGCAACAUUUAUUCAAUAAACAUUUACUAAGUACCUGGCACAGUACUUGGCACAUGUUGGGGGCUCUGUAAAUAUCUGUUGAAUAAUGAAUGAAUGAGUGCCUAAUGCAGAGAUGAAAAACACAUGGCAAGUUACCACCAGUCUCUGAUCUUGAAGCCAUAUCAGAAACCAUUAAUGGAUUAAGGCAUUCUUUCUCUCUCUCUCUCUGAAAGCCCUGGAUGUAGCUUAGAAUUCUCAGACUUGACACAGGAAAUGAAACCUCUUUGCCAUUCCUGAUCUAGGCACAAAGAUAAAACACAUCUUAACCCUGGUUUCAAGGAGCUCACAAACUAAUGGGACAAAGACAAUAAAUAGACAAAUGUAACAUAAUAUAUGUUAAGACAGAAGUAUGAGAGUCCAGAGGAAGGCCAUGGCAUUUAAUGAUGUGGAUAAACCAAUAAUUCUCAAAGUUGCCUUGGCUUUUAAGACGCCACUCCCUCCAUGUUUUUCUUCUGCCUCUCUAAUAAUCCUUUUCUUCUUCCAUCCUCUACCCAACUUCCAUAUUUUGGCGCUCUUGAAGUUCUACCCUGCUCCUCUUCUAUUCUGUAUAGACGCUCCUGGAUCAUCACAUUCCCUCUCAUGACAUCAAUUGCCAUUUACAUACUGAUUGCACCCAAAUUUAUAUCCCUAGCCCUGAUCUCUCUCUGCAGCUUCAGACAUAUAUUUCCAACUGCCUCUUAGCACCAACAGGCUGCUCAAAACCUAACUAAUUUACUCUCUUCUCUUAACCUUCCUCAGCAGCUCUAUGCAGCCUCUGAUAAUCUUGAUGUCCUUCAAGGCAUUGCUAUUUAAAUCUUCCAAACUAGAAAUCCUUAGCUUGGCAUCAUCUGACUCUGUGAUGGACUCUGGCCAUAAGGCUGAUACGACUCUAGGCCUCUGUGCAUGCUGUGCACUCAGCCUGGUAUCAACCACGGACUCACUCUGGCAUUCCUUUUGCAUCCUUCAAGAUCCAGAAACCCAAUUCCAAUGUCACUUUGGAAUACUUCCCAAUACCUCAUGGUAGGGUUAGUUAUGCCAUCCUCUGUAAACAAACGAUCUAAUAAGAUUCCAAAAUUCCUCCCUCUCUCAUCAAAAAAAUUAAGUUAUACAUAAGGCAGUAUGAAUGUUUAUGCAACCUAUUUUAUACAAAGUUUGCAAGCAUCAUCAGUUACCACACACAAAUAAAGCAUUAACUGCUUCAUUCGUUCAUUAAAUAAAUAUGAAGUCCUCGUCACAUGGUAGGGAAUCUUCUAGGUGCUAAGGAUAGAGCAACAAGACAAAGUCUCUGCUAUCAUGAAGCUCAUGUUACAGUGGGAAAGACAGACAGUAAGCAAAUACAACAUCAGAUUACCAGACAUCGUAAAUUUAUUACAGAACUCAUUUAUUAGAGGAGAUGAUGGAAGUUGUUUUAAAUAUAGAGAAAAAAGUAUAACUCUUGAAUAAUGAAAAAAAAAAUUUAAAUCCCUUAAAGCGGAAAGGAAUUACUCUCGCCCUGCCCAUGCCCUUCCAUAUGGUCACUAUCUUCAACAUGUUCAUUGUUAUUAUAAGAAAAGAGAGUGUAACUGCAGUAAAAUCUUACCAAUCUAGGGAAAUUGGAGGGAAAGCAUGAAUUACCAAAAAUAUCUGAAUUUAAAGAAUUUUAGUGAAAAAUAAAAUCUUAAAACUUUAUUCGACAUGAACACUAAUUGCUAAUAAACUAUUUCCACAAAGAGGUACCAUCAGACCUACUUUUUUGAACAGAGCGUAAGUUGGAAUUGGUAUGCAAAUAGAUUCUGUUCACUUUAUAAAACCGUUUAAAAGUUUGUUUCUUUGAACCGGCUAUAUAAUCCCGAGCAAUCUUAAGUAUAUAAACCCAGCACUCUAAACAUUGAAAUGUUCAAUAUACAUUUAUAUUAAUAGUUUUAAUUAUUUACAUGCUUGGUCAACUGCUUUUUAUGGGAAGGCUUUCACAAAUCAUCAAACAUUUUAAACAGUGGAGUUUGAAGUAAGGAGAUUGUAUUAUGCCUAAUCUGAAAGAACAACAAACGCCAGCAGCACAGGCAAUCAAGAGGGUUACAGAGGCUUGAGUCCCCUCUCCGCACUGAAAAGCUCCCUGUUUGAGAAAGACAAAUACUGUGCAAUCUCACUUAAAUGUGAAAUCAGAAAAACAAAACAAAACAAAACAAAAAACUCAUAGGAAAAAAGAUCAGAUUUGUGGUUACCAGAGGCAGGGGGUUGGGAGUAGGGGUGAGGGAAAUGGAUGAAAGAGGUCAAACUUCCAGUUAUAAAAUAAACAAGGACUGGGGAUGUAACGUACAACGUGACGGCUAUAGCUAACACUGCUAUGUAAAAAAUGGGAAAGUUAAGAGAGUAAAUCCUAAAAGUUCUCAUCACAAGGAAAAAAACAUUUUGUGUGUGUGUGUGUGUCUAUACAUGAUGAUGGACAUUAAUUAAGCUUAUUAUGGUAAUCAAUUCACAAUCUAUGCAAGUCAAGUCACCAUGCCUUAAACUUAUACUGUGUUGUAUGUCGAUUAUAUCUCAAUAAAACUGGAAAAAAUUUUAAAAAUAUAAAGGUGCCUGUUCGCAUACAGGAAAAGUUCUCCUCUACAGAACUCCUACGGAAAUUAAACUCACACUCCAGCUCUGCCAAAAUAUUUGUUCGUCUGCUUUAGGUCACCCCAACCUCUGUUACAGUCUGGAAGCUCUGCUCAUAGAAUUUUAGAGGACAAAAUAUCAUCUUUCUCCAAAGCAACAAAAGCAUUUUAAUAAAAAUGUUCUUCUGCUACUCUGCCCCUCUCCACCCCUGACACCCACCCCACCUGGCUAACUCCACUCCAUUUUUAGAUACCUGCUCACAUGUCACCUCUUCAGAGAAACUUCUGUGGACCUCACCACCAACAAGAUGGUGAGCUGCCCUCCUAAACACUCCCAUAAUAUUCCACCUGCAUCCCCAUCACAGCAUUUCAUACACUGAACUAGGACAGUUUCCUUGCCUGUCCCCACCAGAAUACUGGUUCCUUAGAUCAGGGUCUAUGAUGUCAUCACUGACAUCUUCCCAGCAACCAACACAGUGCUGGAUACAUAGAAGGAUGUAAUAUACAACUGGGGGUGUAAUGUACACCAUCUUCCUCUAUGGACUAGAGGAAGAUGUUUGUCUUGUCUUCUCCCAUCUUUACUUUUGUUUUAUUUAUUUACUGGGGAAACAGACUAAGAAAUUUCAAAUGCAAUUUGUCUAAAAGUGAAGUGUUUCAUAAAUGAAAAAACUCAGUCCUUGACAUGAGGAGGUCUUAGGGAAAGCCUCAAAGGAAUGGCUCGGCUCUACACCAAGACUCAUUUUUGGCUUAUUACUAAGAAUUCUUCCUAUUAAAAUUUAAUGCAGUCUUCUCUAGCAGUUCAUUUUGUCUGCCAAGUCCUUUAUGACUAUUUUGAUAAGUUAUUUAUUAACAUAUAGAAGCCACAGUAAUAAACGGAUGGCAUAAGCCAAGGCUCACAGGAUAGAAUGAAAGGGCUAUGUCCACUCCUGAUUUGUCAAGACUACAUCAAUAGAUCCUGUGACAAGCAGCCAUCAUCAAGUGCUGGCCUGAAUGUCACAGCAUCCUGGUACACAGUAGGCACUCAACAUACAGAACGAAUGAAUGAAUGAAUGAAUGACUAUCAAGGGGAAGGGAUCUCAGAAGUCAAAUUGUAAACCUAAGCAUAGUGGAACCAGAGUGCAAUUAUGAUGGGACACAGAUGGGUAAGAAGGCAAGCGGCACAACAUAGUCUACAAUUUAUAUAACCUCUGUAACCCUCAACUUCCUCAUUUCUAAAAUGGGAAUGAUAACAGAAUUCAAUAAGAUAACGUACAAAGUGCUUUGCACAUGUCUAGCAAACAGUGUGUGCUUAAAAUUACGAAGUUACUGUUUCGUAGAUACGGUUCAUAGUUACUAAAGUGAAAAGCACACCAGACUAAACUUAAAAUAAAAAACGUAUAAAGUGGAUGUCACUAGGAGACACUCUGAACCCAAAGAAGUGGAAUAUGUAGGUGUUCUCCACACAAUUUGUCAUAAGUACUGUACUUGAGAAGAAAAGGAUUUUUGGUAAAGUUAAUCACAUGUUAAACUCAGAAGUCUGUUAUCUAAAAAGAACCCAUUAUUUUGCAUGGCUUGUACACCCCUGCUUAAAAACACGUAUUACACUGAAUUACACAAAGACUCCUUUGGGAAAUACAUGACUGUUUGUAUAUGUGAAGGAGGAUCCAUAUUCUCACACAAUGGAGUUGCUUAAAGUGUACUUAUACCCUUACCCAGGUAUAAAUAUACUGGCACUGUGAUGCUCCCCUAGCUACAUCUGGCCAGUCCCUCUAGGAGAGAUGCAUUAUUCUCCUCUAAUUCUAAUUUUUAAAGCAUAGGACAGAGCUGAACUUUCUCCACAUUCUGUUUAACUUAGGCAGUUAUUCAAAAUUCCUCUCUUCUGCAAGCAUCAAUUCUGAACUUGGCUGAAAGAGAAAGAAAUACAGCGAACACAAAAAAGAGAGAAGGAAAAACAGAAUAAACUCUUUUGGCCCUGCCUUAUGUACAAAAAGAAAGAAAGGCUGCUUUUCCUCUUCCCGCCCUGUUCCUAGUGGUUACUUUCAGAAAAAUCUAGAGGGGUGGAGGUGGAGCAGGUUUGGAAGAAGGAAGGAAAGAGGUGGAAGAGAAGGAAGGUAGGGGGAAAAAACAGCUGCAGAAGAAAAGAAGAAAAAAGAGAAGAAAGGAGAGCUGAAACCUGACACUCAGGAACUCAGGGCUGCGGUGAACGAAGUCUCCAACUGAAAACUUGCCAGCCUGGGGAGGCCGAAUGGUUCCAAUCGCAGCCUUCAUUAACGCUUCAUACACUCAGCCCCUAAUUUACAACCGUUUAACGGCAAACAUUCUACAAGCACCUUUGGGGACCUCUGAGGACAGAAAGAAAUCUAAGAGAAAUUAGGUGCCGAGAGAGCUCCCCUCAAAGGCAAGAGCCCUUUCGUGCAAGCAAGCAAUUUAGCACUUUCUUUUUUUGUCUGUUUGGGGCUUUGGGGGUGGGAGUGGAGCGGCGUUGGAGUGGAAGAGACAUACAGCCAGUCAGAAGCUGUGAGGAGGUGCAAAGGGCUGGGGUGCCUAGGUAUGCGGGAGAGAAGGCAGAGGCUUUGUGUCUGUGGCGCUGUUAGGGGCUGUGCACGAGGGUUGUGUGUAAGUGGGUGGACGCAUAUAGAGCUGUAGGCAGGGACUCUUCCCAAACAGCCAGACUCUUGUUCCAGCAAUUUAAAUAAACAAGAACAUCAAAAUAACAUAAAAACCCACUAAAACAAUCAUUGCCAAGUGGUUUCCUGGAGUGCUAAAAUAGAGACCUUUUUUUUUUGGUAAAGGAUUAAGACAAAGUGGCAUAACCUUGAAGUUCACCCCAAGCUGCAGAAACUGAGACCCAGCUAAGGGGCCAGAUGGCUUGGAGGGUGGGGCCCCGCAGCAGUCUUCUCCACAAGCCUUUCUUGUCAUUCUCCUAAGCUUUGCUUCUCUUCAGCCCGUCCCUGUGCGUACUGUGAACAUCACAGGGUUUUAACUCACCGGGGCCUGGAAACUGGUUAGACAGCUUUUGUCCCAAGGCCACAAUGGACAAUCAGUCAGCCAAAGCACAGGAGUCCUGGAAAGAAGACUUGAACUCCCUCUCCUAGACAGGAGAAGGAGAAUGGGAAAAGGGAGGCUAACCAGAUUACCUUUUAACUAACAGCUUUACCUAAACGGAUUAACAGCGAGGAUUAACUUUCACAGGACCACAGAGCUGGAUCACCACUGCUAGGGUGCGUGGCUCAGACGAAGCUGGCCUUGCCCUCAGCCAGGAUCCGGGAAGGAGAAAAGGGCAAUGUCUUGUCUGAACCAAAGUCCUUUUCAAAGGCACUCAAGUCUCCCCAGAAUGGGCUCUGUGGGAUAUUAAUGCCACAGGCUAAGGGCUCCCGUCUUCAGAGCACCCAACUGCAACAUUUAAACCCAUAUGAUCUGUGGGGAAACAGAAUGGAAGAUCAAAGCGAGGCAGGUGGCAGGCAUGGGGGAGAAGGAUCUGAGUUCUACAUAAAGCCAGGUAGAGGCCACACCAUGCCCUGCUCCACAAGACUCAGACGCUCCUACCACAAUUUAAAGUCCCUGCACUCCCUCCUUCCCAGAGCCUCCAGAAAAGAGCGCUUUCCAGGCUUCUCCCACCAGUGAGACCCUAAAACCCUGGCACCCAGGUUCUUCUCCCUUUUCCCAUCAAAUGUGGUGAAAUCCCUGUCGUCUUCACAAUGGGCUUACCUGAGAGCGAAGGAGGCUGGGAAAACUCCUUUCACCACAAGCCAAUGCCUCAGAAAGAACUACACAGUCCCCUGCCACCCCUCUCCUCCUCUUUGUUUUAUUGUAACCAUAGGAGUUUUCUUAGCCCAGCCGCCCCAAAGAGGAUUGCUACUGAAGAGUGACUGCUUGAAUUCACCUCUGCGUUCUGCUAUUCUGAAGGCAGAGAGAUCCCUGAUUUUUAUGAAAUGCAAGCCGUUCUUCAGGUGUGAAGAUCAUAACUGCUGACCCAUCAGAAAUGAUCUGUUUGGAUUAUUCCAGUUUUCGAUCGACCUUGAUCUCCCCAGGUUCACUGUGUGACUAGAACAUGUAUGAAAUGGCUAGACCAUCUUAGGGAUGGAGUCUGUGGCCAAGGAAUACAGUAAAGGAACAGGUCCUCAGCAGGGGAGACCCUACGUGUGUCUCCUAGCCCGGUGCUCUAACCAGGUGACCGGCACUCCUUUAAAUGGGCAUGGUGGUGUCCCAGGCAAUGGGAAACUGCUAAAACUACUGUUUGCCUUUUGGGUGGAGAGAAGGCGUGCAGGCCAACUUUAGUUAAAAAGCAGAAUAGUUUAGGUCCUUCAUAUUUUCAUCACUGUAGUCUAACAUUACAGUGAUGAGACCUCUUGGAUUUUUUCAAGACAGUCCUAACUCAAAUAUUCUGUCCAAAUUUUCUCAUAAUUACACUCACUAUUGUCAAGUCCAACAGACCAAAUGGUGCAUUUAGGAAACAGGAGCCCCAUCUUUAAAGAACUCAACACUGGGACACGUACUUCAGAUUACCAGGAUGAUUCGAGUCUUAGCAUUGCCCCUAAACUGGCAGCUGUGAAUUAAAAUUUGCUCUGAAAAAAGAAUUGCUCAUGAGGUCUGAGUUGCACUACACACUGGCUUCAACUUUGGUUGGCUUGUUUCAAAAGAACACAGAAGCUUUUCAAGAAAAGGGGAAAAAAAUGGGGAAGGAGGUUGCACAAAGCCUGCUCUUUGCUUAGCAAACCAAUAAGAAAAAUAAAAUGCAAAAAGGGCACACGGCAGGCUGUAUUUCCAGGCUUUUUAGAGGGGUACAAUUCAUUUGGUCUAAGUAUCCCCAAGCCUUUCUAUUAGAGCAGGGCAAGAAAAGAGACAAGGGUCCUCACAGCCACCAGCAUCCCAACUGGAUUCCCAGUUAUCCCCACCCAGGCCUUGCCCCUCCCCGACCUGGAGGGACAGUCCCACUCCAGGCAGCUUUUGUAAGUCUCAACACUCACAAGAAAAAUGAUGGGUUUGAACUAUUAACCCUUCCCCAGAAAGGACUGAAAUUAAGAAGAGGCCACUGACAAAAUAUUCACAUGAGAAUACUGUAAAAAAACACCAAGCUAAAUAUUUGCCCAACAGUUCCAGACUCGCCUGAAGAAAGAGAAAAGAAACAAAAAUGGAGGGGGGAGUGGCCAAGCAAUAGAAAGAGACUGGAGUCAAGCUCAAGAUCUAUUAAGAAAGAAUUACACAAUUUAGAGAAAACUGGAGUUGAUGUUGGCAUCAGAGGGGAGCAAGGUUAGGGUGAAGAGUGGUGUUGGACUUGAGAUCUGUACAGUGAGAUGGAAAGGGGAAAAAAAUCAUAUUGAUUAAGCUGCUGGCUGUAACACUCUUUUUUACUGAAAACUCUCUUUGCUGAAAAAAGAGGGAGAAAAUGGAGUCUGGUGUAAAGGAACAGCGUGUUAUCUACCAGCAGGGAGGGGUUGGUCAGCACACAGACCAGGAUUCAAAUUCAAGCUCGGCCACAUACCUGUUGAAGAACCUAGGGCAAGUCACUUUACCUUUUGGAGCCUCCAUUUCUUUUUAUGUGAAAGAAGGAUAAUGAUACCUCUCCUUCCUACCUCCAGGUAGUUUUAAAGGUCAAAUCUGAUCAUAUAAAUGAAAUGCGCUGUAAACUCUAAGGUACUACACAAAUGUCAAGCUAUUUUAGGUAUGAGGCUCUUUACGAAAAAUGUGGCUGCCCAGAUAGCCCUUCAGAAAGUCAAGAAAGAUAAAACAGGCAGAGUAGAGUUGGAAAGGGUGAGCCUGUUGCCCAGAAAGGCUAAGUAAGAAUCAAUAACAAAACCAAAUAUGAUCAGGUUCUCCAAGGACUACUACAUACUGUGGGCUCGAGGCCUCCAAUGAAAGAUCACUAGGCACCAGUUUGCUCAUCAGAAAACUCUAGGAAUUAAACUAGUUCACCUCCAACAGAUGUCUCUUCUAGCCCUAAGAGUGUAUAAUAGGCAUCCGUGUGAGGUGGAGGGGAGAGAUACCCAAAGAAGCCGUAGACAACGGAAGGCAACGGCCUGGGCCCUCUGCAAUGGGCCUUCAUCCCCACCUAAUUCCAGUAGGAAAUUCUCUAUCUCUGGAGGAAAAAGAGAAGGGGGAAAGGAAAAGAGAGAGAAAGGGAAAUGUAUUCUUAUUCUAGUAGUCAGGUUAAACAAACAAAUAGAAACCCAGAUUUGGGAACCCUACAGAAAUGUAUGGCAACAAUUCAGAUCAGUUUCUGCAAAGGCCAACGCUUCUCAAGGGUCUAGAGUUAUAAGCUAGAAACUCCUCUGAGGUAUCAUAUUUAUUAACAUGGCCUCAAGACUCCAAAACAAAGGCCAUGAAAAGUCCAUUCUUAAAUGUAAAGUCCUAACAUGUGAGAGAAACCUAAGGAAUUCAUGGAGGAAAAGUACACACCAGGUCCUGGCUUCAAGGUCACAACUUUAGGAUCAUCAUAGUUGGGGACAUCCAAAUGGGUCCUCUUAAGGCCAUACAAAGAUUUGGGAAAUUCUUGCUCUUUGGCCAGCAAAUUUGGAAGUAUGGUAGAAAAUUAACUCUGUGUUCUCCAAAAGCUCCAUUAUGCAACCAUCAUUCCAACAAAUCGAGAUUGUUGCACGUCUUCAAAGAACUAAGUUAUAUUUUCCAAUCAUCAACCUUCGAGGUCACCAUCUACCUUCUAAGGAGAUGACCAUCCUCCAGGGCAACCAACUCUGUUCCUUCCGCAAAGACAGGGAGAGGAGAGGUCCUUCCUGGACCCUCAGGGGCCACGUAAACCCAUCCUAACUGAAGGAGUGAGAUACCUGCUAUUACGCAAAAGUAGACUUGACUAAAAGCAAUGUUUUCAAAGUUUUUAACUGCCACGACUGCUGCCCAAAAGAAGCCUUAUACUCUUGGGCAAUUCAUAAAACAAAACAAAGCAAAACAAAGACCAACAGUUAGAACUCCUCCCUUAAAGCCUGGGUCCUGGAUCAUGCCUUCACUGAACUUCCAGAACUUCAAGGAACACAAGUGAAGACAAGUCAUUGAUUCAAGUCAGGAGACCCAGUCUCACAUCCCAGCUGUACCACUUAUUUCCUGUGUGGCCUCCGCCAAGACAGUAAACUUCUCUGAGCCCCAGGUUUUUUUAGAGAAGUUGAGCAAUAUAAGAAAUUUAAAAGUUCAGAGGUUUGUAUGGAAACAAAAUUAGGGUGGUACAAGAGGGGUAGAAAUAAUAACAUUUUAAUUCUCAAGACACUAUCAUGUAGUUAGUAUUAUCCUUAUUUUACACAUAAGGAAACUGAAGCCGAAAAGUUAAAUGCUGUUUCUAAAAUCAAGACUAAUGAAACAGAAGCUUCUGCCGCACAAAUAAGUGUUCUUCCCACUAGAUCCACGUUUCUCUCAUAUCCUGGGCAGGUCCACAAUGACUCUGGUGACAUUCAAAGUCAUUAAAACAAGCACAUAGGACGCAGUAAAAAUAGAUGAUGAAAGUGAACCCGCAUGCCAAUAAAACAAAACAUAUAUCCAACUUUCCUUUAUAUUUGUUCUUUAUAAUCCAGUACAAUAGUAAAACUGGGCUGAAACAACUGGCUUUCUUUUACUGGGAAAGUCUACCUUCCAUUUUUCUAAUCUGUGUUCAGGGUGCCAUACUGGACUCCACCAAAGCCCUAAAAAUUAUAAUCUUUGGAGCUCUUUUGUCAGCUGUAUUUCCCUGGAAUGUAUUUUUUUCUAGCUAGCCCAGGCUGGGUGUCUCUUUCUGUCAUUUUUUUCUUAUGAGCCCAUUUGCGGGGACAGGGUCUAAUUCUGCGUUCUUUAGAGCACCUUUCAUACUGCUGUUGAUUAACACUAAAUAAUAAUGAUGUUUAUAACAAUGGCUGUCAAUAAUCAUAACCAUAACCAUCAUCACCAUAAAUAAGAUUUCCCACCAGCGGUUUCUUGAAGCCGGUGAAUAUACAAUAAUCAUAUCAGUUUGGAGAUCACCUGCUAAAAGCAAAGCUGAGCUGGGUGGUGACAAUGAGCAAAUGAAUCACACAUAACAUGCCAAAAGUGGUGAUUAAUAAAUGGCUCCUCUUCUCCUUUACAAAAAACGCUCUCAAAGUCGUCAUCCAGCCAGGUAACUGACCUUGUUUUCCAUUAAGGCUGUUCAGUCUUAGCUUCAAGGGACAUCAUUCAUGUCAUCCUCAACUGCUUUACAGCCAGCUUGCCACCAUGGGACCAUUACUGAAAAUCGCUCGAAUGGCACCGCCCAUUUGGCUCACCAGCGCAAUUCGCCAAGGGCGCUGCUCAUGGUUUCCGGGCAUUUUUAAGGAGAGUCAUGCCCAAGUCCACAGGGUUGUACAAGGGAAGUUCUGAGCAGCAAUGACCCCAUUCCACCGAAGGGAGGUCUGCAAGGCACGAAUUCCAUGGAUUUCCACAUCCCCUAGAGCAAAGCCAUGCUUAGCAAUCAGAAAGCUUUCUCUGCUAUUGAAAGACUACAGAGUAAUUCUGGGGACAGAUAUGGCACUGUCCUAAAGCCUGUUAACAGUGAGUACACUCUCCAAGCCCAAACUAUGGAGUAUAAGACGGAAGAUAGAAAAUUACAGCAGAAAUCGGGUUCUUUUGUCUUCAUAUUGAAGACAGCUGAGUGCAGACAACAUAGUGAAAAGGGCUCUGAAAGGAGGCUUGUUUCCUUUUUGCCAAAUAUUAGCUCCUUAUUAUUCUGCGCCUCAGUGUCCUAAUCUGUAAAAUCAAACGGUUAGACUAAAUGUGCACAGUCCAAUAAGGUAGCCACUAGCUACAUGUGACUAUGGAGCACUUGAAAUGUGGCUAGUCUGAACUGAGACGUGCCGUGAGAGUAAAACACACACCCAAUUUAAAAGACAAUACAAAAAAAGAACGUAAAAUAUCUCAUUACCAACUUUUAUAUGAAUUACAUGUUAAAAUACUAUUUUAGAUAUAUUAAAAUAUAUCUUUUGAAAUUAAUUUCAUCUGUUCCUUUUGACUUUUUUAACAUGGCAAUUGGAAAUUUCACUUUCUAUCUAAAUUUAAAAUCUCUCUCUUUUUCUCAGUGCUGGGCUAGAUGAUUUCUAACCUCUCUCUUACAGCUUUAACAUUCUAUGUUUCAUUUUGUGCUUCUCAGUGAUCUUUCCACAGCAAGUUAGCAGCGGAAUAGGGUUUAAAUCUUUACAGAGACUCAAUUUCCUUAUCUGUAAAAUGGGGGUAAUGCCACCUUUGAUGUGAGAUGCAAUGGGAAAGUGAUUUGAAAUUAAUAAGGUGCUAUAUAAAUUAUUACAGUGAUCACACUACAGUAUUACUUCCAGCAACCUGGAAUGGCAGGUGUAAAGGAAGGGUAAAGUGAGAAGAGUGUUGCUUCUCCCAAAGGCAGAGAACAUCAGCCUAACCUUAAGUUACCAAGCUUAGAGGCAUGAAUAAAGCCUGAGAGAAUCAGAACUGAAACCCUCGAGAGCAAGAGAGAUGCAGCACCGUCACACAGAGCCAAGAGAAGAACCAAGAUAGAAACACUGCCUGCUUUGGGUGUGAAAAGCACGUUGGGCCCCAAAACCCAAGGCACUUCAUACUUCACAGGAGACAAGACGGUGUUUUUUUGACCUAGUAAAAGCUAGAAAGGAAAAAAGAAAAUUAGCAACAUUUUUACAAAGUAGUAGCUAUUGUUUCAUUAUUAUUUUUUUUAGCUCUCCCAACAACUAUUAGAGGUAAGCCGAAUACUCACAUUUUUACAGAUUAAAAAAAGCCUAAAAACGGAAAUAACUUGCCUUGACUCAUGCAUCUGGUAACCACUGAAGAUGGAAUUCACACCCACGUCUCCCUACCUGAUUAAUUCUUCCCAGCAGAAAAAAGGGGAGAAAAUAUGGGGGAGAUUUAGGAUUUCUAUUCUUUUAGGGGCACAGCUUAAGGUCCCCUUCUGAAGUAGUCCUGGAAUCUGGGGUCCACUUAAAAUUGGGAAAAUAGAAGCGAUACCACAGCGACCCACCCACUGUCAAAAUCCAAUAAGAUAAUUGUGUCUGGAUCUAUAAAUAGGUAGGUUGGGUUUAAAAAGAAUGUAAGGGUUGUGUGUUACAAAUGCUGGGAAAGGACUAGAUCCCAGUGUGGGGAGAGGGGAACCUGUCACAACUGAAUGCUCACAAGAAAACCAAGGAGGAGCCUUUAUCAUCAGCGAGGCAAGUGGGGCAGCGGUGGGGGGGUGGGGAGGGGAUGGCGGAGACUGGUGGGGAAGAGGGGGGGAUCCUCAAGGGGCAGAAUUCAAAGCCCAAGAAGGAAGAAGCCCUGACAUCCGGCUGGCCACCUAUAGCCAUUGAUCCUGUACUGUUUUCCAACUUACUGGAUGGAGGCGCCACGCCAAUUCCAGCAAGCUCAUUCCGUUUCAUUUCCCCGACCAGGCUUUACUCUGCCCACAAGCCUCCGCCACCAGCUCCACCACCUUCACACUCUGCUCAGACACUGCUCAUCCUCAAAGCAAUGAGAAACAACGAUCACAACCAUGGUCUCAACUUCUUUCCUUUCUCAACUGACCGUCAGCUUUGCAGACCCUUGAGAAUUACAUGGCCAGCCAGGGACAAUCAUCACUUUGGACAGUCAGGCCACUAGGCAAACUGGAAGCAAUGGAAGCUGCUUUAUGAAUUCCUAUAAACUCAACUGAGAAGGCUGGCAUGGAAGUUUACAAGAUUAAGUGUUUCUAUCCCCUUUCCUAGGACACACAUUGCGACGAGCUGGAAAAGCCUCAUCUAGACUCUCAUACUAAACCCAGGAGCCCUGAGGGGCUCUCGUAGGCCAGGACUCCCCACCGCCCUCGCUCAGAACCAGAGACUCAGAAUUCAACUUGGCUUGAACAAAGACCCUCCUCCUCAUCUCCCUCUGGCUUCCCAACCCCCAUCCCCUUCAUCUGCCUUCCCCGCAGCCACAUUAACUACUCAGAAACACAGCCACUCCACUCUAGAGUUACUCAGGAAUCACAUUCUUAGAAUAACUCAUCAAUUAUACCUGUCAACUUGCCAAAAGUGCCACAGGGGAGGUGGAAAGUCUAGACUGCAUCUAACUGCAGCAGCACAGCACCCCUGUUCGCAGAGGGCCCCCACUUUGCUAAUGGCCUCUACAAGCUCACAAGAAACAAGAAUCCAAGAAAAUGCAGGAGCAGCCAGGUUUGGAAUGUAGACACUAGCACCAAGGUACUCUCAGGCCCAGGGCAGGGCAGGGAUCUCGCCGCUUCUCUCCUUGUAGACUAGGAAAACCUGCACCAGUCUGCUAACAGGAUGUUCCGCCACAAAAAGCCUGGAUUAGGAAAUGUUGAAAAGACAUGUCAUUGUAUUGCUCAAAUAUGCACACAAACUCAUUGUCAAUAAUUGUGCUGCCAAGAAAGCAGCACCAUGACAGACAUACUUUUUAAUUAAUUGGCAAGGAUCAUUAGUAAUUAAAACAUUUAUUGUAUGCAAAUGCUGCUACUAAAUCUUUGGAAAGUUUAUUCUCCAAAGCAGGAUAAAUAUCCCCAUGAACACCAUGUAUGCUACUAAUAGAGUAAGAAAGUCCCCCUCUUUGUUAACCUGUAAAAAGGUAAGCUUUCAUUCAGCUUAGCCUGAAGUGACUCCGAACCCAAGUUAUCUAGGAUCCUAAUUAAUAAAGUUGUCCCUUGAUUCCAAAACUCUGCGAACAGAGCUAUUCUGUAAAAAUACUAGAAAUGUGCUGUAUUUCCACGAGAAGGCACACAACUAUUUACUCAGCUGAUCUCAGGAAGGUUAUCUUAAUCACUCUGUGCCUCAGUUUCCUCACUUGUCAAAUUGAUGAGGAUUUUUAGGCUGGUUACUUUUAAAACUGCAGAUGAGAAGCAGGCUCCGAGGAGCAGAGUUUGCUUGCCCUUUGCUGGGAUACAUUUACAUUUGUAAGGGAAACCUCCAUCUGUAAAGAUGCCUCCCUCUCUGUGCCAGGAAGAAGGGAGAUGACCUUAUCUCUAGAAACUCUUAAUGGGGAAGGCAAGGACUUAAGUUGGUUACUGUCUGGCAACCUCAUGUAACUGAUUUAGGGUGGUGGCUGCUGGCCUUUACUUAAUCCGAUUUGAUUAUUAUCUAAAAGUUGUGGGACCACCCAAUGGCCAGACCCCACCUGCACUGAUAUCAUUUUUAACUUUUUUACAUGUUCUUUCCUUCGUCUUGUAAAGAGAUGGCUCACAUACCUAUGCCUUAAAUUUAGCCUUACUCUCCACCCAUGUUUGCAGCAGCAGUAGUGGGGGCCGCAGCAGCUCCUCCUGCCCGUGGGCCCUGUCCCCACGCAGCAGCUCUUACUGCCCAUGGGUCCUGUCCCCAUGCUAUUCCACACUAUUCUCUAAAUAAAAGAGCACUACUGCCAGAUCUUGAGAGCCCAAGAAAUCUUUCUUUCGACUCCUCAGCUCACUGACCCCGCAUCAAAAUAAUAGCAAUUUCCACCUCAUAGGAUUGUUGUGGUUGUGUAGAUUAAAUGAAAUAACAUCUAUGAACAUAUAUGAACUGCUUUGCAUGAUGAAUGGCACAUAAACCCUCCGUAACUGUUAGAAGUGUCAUCACGCAUUUGAAGGUCUUUUUAGGAUCAGCAAGCAACAUCCCUGCAAAGAGUGGAUUUUGUUCUUUCUUCGGCUUAUAGUUUAUUUAACAAAUCCACAGUCAGGAGGAGAAACAAAACCCAAGCAUCCUGACUCCUUCCGGCAAAUCCCUGUUCAGCCCAACAGGACAUCUCAGCUCCCCGAAUCAUCCAAACUGUGAAGCGCUAGGGGACAGCAUCCACUUUCGGGAGUCACAGAGUUCACUAUGAUUUUAAAGAUUUAAGAGAGGAAAAGGCAAUAGAUCUUCUGUCCACAAUGCCAAGCAAGAUUUCACGCUGUCGUCCUCCCCAUGAAGGCUCACCAAACAUGGCACCUCACAAUUUAACUUCCUCCUCACCAAUUCAGGCCCCAUUUUUCACUUCCCCCCCAGGAGCUUGUUUACCUGGACUCAGCGGGACUGACCUCUGUGGCUCAAGGGGAGCGGGCGGUGGCGAUGGGGAAUCCUGGGCAGGAGUGCAUGAAGCAAGCAGGACAAGUGAGCCAGCCCAGAGCCCCAGAGCGCUAAGAAAACAGCAGGCAGCCCCUAAUGAGGUCGGGACAUCACGGAAGUGUCCUCCUUUUGGCCUCUCCCUUCCCAGUUAGAGCUGGCAGAGGCAUUUCUCGUAUCAGCCUUUGUACAUGAGGCUCCAUGGAAGAGUUAAUACGCUCAUCCUUCUCUGACCAACAAGAGCAUUGCCACAGGGAUAGAAAUCAAAUUCCAGCUCAGUCCGUGGCUCACGAAAAGACCUUGGAAAAGUCACUUCACCUCCCUCCCCAGCAAUUCAAUCCAGGGAACAGGAAUCAGAAAGGCAUUUGUCAGCCCCCUUCCCAUGGUGACAGGUGGAUAAUAUCACCUCCACCCUAAAUACCUCGCAGGGAUGUGAGAGGAUGGAUGAGCCAGCAUUACAGCCAAUAUUCUACUCACCAGCAAUAAACAACUCACCUUUUGGAGGUAAACGGCUCUUUCUAGGGCACCAGGGGAUCAUUUAGCACUCUGGAAGAAGUAAUUUGCUCUAUGGUCCUCUGGUGUCCUGAAAAGUGUAAUCCACCUCCAAAAGGUGAACCCUUAACUCCCAGAGAAUCUGUUUUCUCACAGUAGGAUCAGCCUGCUUCAAUGUUUCCAGCUUCAGGAAAAAAGCACCCGCUAUCAUUUUCCGGUCUCUUCUCUCCCCCCUGCCAGCCCCGUCUCCUUACUGAUCGUCCCAUCCUCUCUUCCCCUCAAACAGAAACCAGAUGAAACCGUCUGCAAACAACUUGGGAAUGCUCAGUGUGUGCCUGGGGAAACUUAAACAAAAAUCCUUUCUGGGGCCGCUACCCUCCUCCGCCGCCUCCUCCUCCCUCCCGGGGUUGUUAAGGGCCCGGCGAGUUAAUGGGAACUUCUCCUUUCUCCUCCCACCCCCACGGCCCCUCUCCGGGCUGGGUCCUCAGCAUUUGAUUCCUGUCUGUCACUGAGUGAUGAGGACAAAGGGUGAGGAGUCAGGAAAAGGUCUGCGCCACUUUGUUCGGAGUCUGGAUGCGAACUUUGGAUGAACUCUUCAUCAGGGAGGGGGCUGGGGAGGAGAGGAGAGGCCAGCAAGGAGAAAUUCGCUGCUCUCUGGGCGCAAGCCUCAAAAAAAAAAAAAAAAAAAAAAGGAGAGCGAAUUCUCUUUAAACAACAGAAAGGAAAAAAAGGGAGUUAGGAGGGUAAAACAAUCUCCCUCCCGCAGCCCCCUUAGGAAAAAAAGAGGGCACCGUGGAGGUAAAGAGGGGAGUGCUGAAGAACACAGAGGGCCGGGCACCGCUCUCCAAUAAGGCUGUGGGCCCAUGCUGUGGGCUGCCAGCCAACAGCCAGUUUUGUUUCUUUCCCCUCCAGCCGGUCUCUUUCUCCCUGUGAUUUUUUUCCCCCUAAACCAAAGGGAAUUCCUAAUAAAGCCACAGUAGACUUGUAGAGAGCAAAGGGAAGGAAAAAGUUACCAGGGAUGGGAAAAGACAGAUCAAACUCAUCUCAAUCUGAAAGUUCAAAAUAAAAUACAGGCAUGCACGUAAAAUCAUGGCACCCCUCACUGCAUGCACAAAUCCACAUGCACAGACCCAAAAAUGUUUAGUCCCAAGUCUCUUUCUCUUUUUCCCCAUCUGUGUACACACAUACCGUUUGCAUGGAGGGGCUGGUGACUUUUCCUGGGUGGCUUUCCCCCCUAACCCUGUACUGUAGCUUUCAAAAAAGCACCAUUAACAUAGGGUUGGAACCACUGCAAAAGCCAGUUUGUCUUCUUUGUGCUCAAUAAAACCCAGCUAAAACUCUUUCACCUCCACUUACUAUUGAUUUUUCUAUUGUACUCUACAGGCGUGCGUAGCUCACUCAUCAGACUGUCUUUCAUUCUGUGAACCUCCCUGACCACAUCUGGACGUGAGGUUUUUCAGCUCCCAGGGAUGGGUAUUACUGCUCCAUUCAAUCAUUGUGCGCCCGCAUGCAAUCAUGCAGUCACUUUGGGUCUGGCCUCUGUCCUUUGGUCUUUGCCUCAGCCUCUGAAUUUCAAUACCCCAAAAAUCAGGUGUCCAUCCCAGCACGGAGGAAUGAGAGGUGACAAGCCCUCCUGCAUCCCCAGGGCUCUCUCCCCUCUCCUCUUGCACAUCAGAAGUGGGCUUAAGUGACUGGGUGGGAGAUUCACACUACCAGGACUAGAAGGGGGUGGGGCGAUGUUGCUACAACAUCUGGCACUUCGUCUCUCCACCUCUCCUGGGAACACCUCCUGUAGUGUAUGUGAGGCUGUUUUCCCGAAGCAGAAGUCCCGAACUGCUGCAAAUGGGAGUCUGUGUCUUCGCCUUAACUUCACAAAAAAAACCUGGUGAUGAAGAGAGGCAGAUCGACGGACCAAUGAGGUGAUCAGUCAUUAACGUUUGGAGGAACCUGAGUUAGUAGUGAAUCUGUGUACUGAAAACCUCUCAUUCUGCAUUCUAUGAAUAGGAAAAUAAACUCCACCCACUGAACAAGUGCAUAUGAUGUAAGAAAACCAAACACACAAAGAUCAACAGCUAACAACAAAAAAAGGCAGAUAAAAUGUUGCAUGAGUAUUCACAUGACAAACAGGGCUCUUCCCUGUGCAAAAGGGGUGUUCUAGGCCCAGCCCUGGAAGAGACCUUAUUAAUCAUUCAAAUGUAACCUCUUCCUUUAAAGAUGAGGCAGUCAAGACCCCAGAGUUCAGCAACUUCCCCAAGUCAUCAGUCCCUGUAAUACCCCCAUCCGUGUUCUUUCCAUCACACAUAUUGCUUCCACGAAGCUAAGGAGUGUACUCAAAUAAAGGACACAGUUAUGAAAACUGGACCCACCUGCUUUUCAGGAAUACAUCCAUACAAAGUGACAGACAUCGGUACCCCUUACCUGAAGAUACAGCAGGAGCUGUAGCAUCCUAUGGCCUGGUGUGUGAAACCAGGGAACGUGAAAUAGGGACACACAGAGGGCACACACACAAACAAGCCGUACUUGCUAUGUCCCUUACGUACUUGGUCAUGCACUUCAUCCUUAGAACUCAGAGCUGUUGCUGAAAUUAGGUGUGGGGUUUAUGAGGUCGACACUCAAGUUUCAUUCUCCAUCCCAAAUCCUGGUGGACUGUGGCCACUGUUCUCUCUGCACGCAGGUAACCUCUAUUUUCAAGCUCCCCCUGUGUAUAACGGUCUCAAUACGCCAUCAUCUAACUCUCAAUCACACCUCGCUGUUCAACCCUCGUGGGAUCUCCAGCUCCAUAUUCACUGCAUGCCCCACCAAUUCUGUGUUCAACAAGAUUUCUAAAUCUAUGCCGUGUUCUAAAUCAGCCCUCCACAUGCCUGCCAGUCUGUGACUCCUUUUUCUGGCUUUGAUUUUGCAAGUGGUUGUGACAGUACAGGUUAGAGAAGAAGUCUUAGAGUUGUGUUAUAAGCCACUCAAGCUUUAUAGUUUACAAAGCAUUUUACACCCAUAUCUCACUGGAGAUUCACAACCACCUUGGAGGUGGACGGGGCCAGACUAAUGAGUGUAAUCAGUGCCCAGAUUUCAGAUGAGGAAACUGGCCUGAGUGGCAGGCCCCUCAUUUCCAAUCUACCCCACAGUAGAACAGGCCCAUAACUGUUCCCCUGCAUCAUGAUGCUGCUGCAAAUGGGCUUGGAUGUUUCCGUUUUGCUUUGGAAAUGAAGAGGGAAAAACAUUUACUGAACACUCACCACGUGCCUAGUGCUGUGUUUGAUGCUGGUUCUUACAACAGGGAUAACCAUAGCAUCUCCACCCAUGAGCAGCUUCCUCAAGGCCAGCAAUGAAAUACAUGCACCUGUAUCUUCAGUAGAUAACACCCUCUGUUCUUCUUAUUCCUAUUUGUCUGAAUACAUCAGAGCAAUCCCUCCACCAGUGUAAACUCCUAAACAUAAGAGGAGGGUGUUGGGUGUACUUUCCUAUUUGGUUUGACGUAUGGAUUUGCCAGUAAGAUUAUGAGAGUGAUCAUCACUAUUUAUGGUUCUUUCAAUAUCCUAAAAAAUGCUCUAAUUUCCCGAGGUGUGAGUCUACCACAUGCUUCUCGAUGUCCAGCAGAGUUGUACUGCCAGGUUCCCAGACUUCUUUUCUCUCUCUUUUACUUAGUACUCCAGGAAGAAGUUAUUUGUUGAGUAUUUGAAUGAAUGAAUGAAUCAAUGUCUAUAAGGACUACUUAUUCAAGGGAUGUUAUAGAAAAGGGAUGAGACUAUAAAUUGAAAUUUAUUUUGAUCAACUGCACAAAAGAAAGGGCUCCUUAUUCAAGAAAAAGACUACACAUGAGCAGAGGAUGUCAAGAAAAAAGUUUACAAACCAAAAUGCUAAAAGUUUCUAGCCCAUAGAUUGUUACUAGCUGCCAAGAUGCCCAACACAGGGUGAGAGUCUUGGCAACUGAGAAGAGCAGAGAUAAGAAGGCAAAGACUGUGGUUCUGCUGAGAAAGAGUGUGGAGCAGCCACAGAAAAGAAUCAGACAAAGGAAGUGGUUCUAGUGGCCUCCAAACUGAGGCAAAGGAAAUACUUAGGACGUUUUCAUUUAAAUGGACUGGCCCUCAAGGACCUACUUAAGCUCCUGAAAGCCCACAGUGAGAUUCCUUGUCUAAGACCAACCCCCUCACCCAAGGACAAGGCCAAAGAGGAAAGCCACUCAAGCCAAUGCAGGACCCAACAAGGAAUGGGGCUGAUGAGGAGGGAAAUGCGUAAAUGAGCUUCUUGCUACCCUUCACUCAGCAACAUCUGAACUGCACUGGGAUUGGGGGAAGGCCAUCCCCAGGGAGUGACCCUGAAAGUGACAGCCCCAUUUGAGAUAUCACAGACUCCCACCAGGAAUUCUCACUGAGGGAGGAAGGGACUUGUGUGAGGAAGAUGGGGGCAAUUCUGCCUUUCCGCCUCCCCAAGGACAGGUUUAAAUUACACACGCUCACAUUGGAAGGGGUGGGGAAAGGGUAGUGUGCCCUGAGAGCCUCCGAAAAAAAAUAAUUCCCCGGCCUCAGGGUCUACAAACUCUUUCACUCUAAAAAAAGAAAAAAAAAAAAAUCCCACUUCCAACUUCUUGGUUUAUUUGUGGUGGUUAUUAUUAUUAUUAUUAUUUUAUUAUUAUUAUCAUUAUGAUGAUUUAAUGGAGGGGUCCUUUUCCAACAUUUCAAUUGAUCAGAUAGAAGGAAAACUGGGCAGAAAAUGGGGUCAGGAAGGAUGGGUUAGUUAGCCAAGGAAGAGGCCUCUCCCCGAAAAGAGAAUGGAAGUGAAAACGUGAAUCUGCAAGACAAUUGCCUCUCUCCUCUCUCGGAAAACUCACAGAUGCCCUUAUCCUCCCUGUUUUCUCUCCCCUCCUGGCUUAAGAAUCCAAACCCAAACUCCAAACAGAGUGAAAAGAAAGUUGGCUUAACUUUUGGGAGAGGGAAGAGAGAAAGGAGGUGGCUUUGCAGGCCAAUUUGAGGAUGGGAAGGUGCCGUAACCUGAGCCAUUGACUAAUUAAGGCAGCAGCUGCCCCUCCCACCGCCGCCUCUCCUGCUGGAAGGCAGCGUCUAGCCGGCUUCCUAAAUCUGAUUAUCACUUGUUUUUACAUGGUUCUCAUGUGUCCUCUCCCGGCCCCCGCCCCCGCCGCACGACACCCCACACUCGCUUCAUAACCCCAAGUCCAAGAUCAUAACUCAGAAAACUCAGACUCAGAGGAGCCAUCCAAGAACUCUCGCUCCUUCAAUAACAGGUCGAUGCCAACCUGAAACCUCUUCCUCUCUGAGCACUGGGUUUGGAGCACUUCACUGGAGUGAUCCAAGAGAUCUAAGAGGUAUUUCCAUCCUGUCUUCUCAUUCUUUGACACAUCAGAGAAGCACAUACAGAAAGUUCAGCAGACGGUAGUAAUUUUGGCAAUAAUUUCUUGAGAGGUUCGGUCUGAAAAAAUAAAGCCAAAUUUAGAUUUAGAUGAAUUAUCUGUGACUUCUUCUUUCCAUCCUUCCUUCAACUAACAUUUAUGGAGCAUCAUAUACGUACCAAGCCCUGGUACUGCUAGGUAUGCAGAGAUGAACACAGCAUGGUUCCCUAGGAGUCUACCAUCUGGAAGGGGAAGCUUACAAUCUUACAAUCAUCUUUCUGGAAACUUUUUUGAGAGCAAGCACACUGUGGGUUCAGUACUAUGCUACCCUUAGGUCACUUUCAAGGCCAUGAUCAACAGCUGCCCUGAAGCCCUCUCUCUUUCUUCUGCCAAUGGCAAGCAAUUUGAGGACAAGGUCCUGUCUUGCAUUUCCCAUGACGCUUGGCUUAGAAGUUAAGUGCCGGGUAAAUGUUUUUGAAUGAAAGGAAGGAAGAAAGAGAAGGAAGGAGAAAGGGAUAUAAGAAGGUAAAACUCUUCUCUGAUUCGUGUAGUAAUGAACAUCUAAAAAUUAACAAAACUGGAUAAAAGCCAAGUGUGGCAGAAAAGUUUGCCCUUUUCACUCUUUAUUUUACAAGUACGUCCCAGGGAUCAUUCACUGUCCCUGGUCUCAGGACCCGUGUUUUCUCCGUAAGCCAGUCACAGGAAUGGCGGUGGUGGCCCAACUCCAGCUGCUCAUGGGAAGUGGACCCACAGAGUUGCUGCCAAGGCUGCUGGGUCAAGUUAGGAAGAGAGCAAAAGAGGGGCCUGACCCCCCUCACCCCCUCUCCUUCAGGAUACCUCGGGGUCAGGGAGGGUGGGCUAGCUAGCCAAGGAACAGGAUAGGACCCUCUCUCCAAAAAGAAUGUAAGUAAAAAUGCAAAUGUGCAAGACGAUCACCUCUCUCCUCUCAGAAAACUCUCAGAUGCCCUCCUCUGUUUUCUCUCCCCUCUUGGCUUAAGGAUGCAAACCCAAACUCCAAAGGGAGAUGUUAGCUGUAUUGAGAGUGCAUUUUAAGCAAUCUUAUAUCUAUCUGAUUCCACAAAAGACAAAAUGUUCACACCUCUGUUACAUAGCACCUAUCAAGCUAGAGUCCAAUGCAUCUAUUAAGAUGUAUUUAUUCCCAGUAGAGCAUAACUUCCUCAAGGGCAGAAACGUUUGAUUGAUCCUUCUUUUCAGUAGCAAGUACUCAAUAAAUGUUAAUAAGUGGAUUUUCCUCCUUUUUGCAUAAGCAAAUAAAACAGUGUUUCAAUUAAAAAAAUAUUAACUGAGUUUGUACUGUGCACUGGCUAUAUAAGCCCUGAUCAUUCUUUUCCAGAAAUUCAUUAGUCUAAUAAGGGAAUCUGAUCAUAAACCAAUAAAUAUACUAAAAUCUGGCAAGUAUUGUGGGGAGGUUAUGUAUAAAGGGCUAUGGUAAAAUAUGAAAUAUAAUAUUUUUUUCAUCAUGUUGUUGAAGACAACAUUUAUCAUGUCACUUAGCAUCUUCUUAUUAGGAACUACAGGAGAAACUUUGUUCAUGGCCAACAAUUGAUCUGUUUUCAAUUCUAAAUACUCUGAAAUAGAAAACUGAUCCUAUUUCCCUUUUUGCUUUUGCUACCAGGAAGCAGAAUCAAAUCUAUAGCCAACCUCUAUAGGAUCUGGACUGAACAAGGUCCCAGACUUGAUCCAAAGAGUCAGGAAGCUAUUUUCUCACCAGCAAAAGGACUGGGAAGGCCACAGUGAGAAAGGAUCUUAAACAGGCAAUGUUAUAUACUAACAUUCCUUUGCAUUUUAUUUUUCUACCUCAAUUUUCUUUUCUAGUUUCCUCAUUUAUUUAGUAAAUCUGUUCAUAUUGCUUGUAGCUUUUGGUAACCUACUUGAAUUCCUCUUUGAAAUGAGAUGAGCAAUAAAUAAAUAAAUAAGAUACAUAAAAGGUUUUGUUGGUAAACAGAAGAGAAUUUCAUUCAUGAGUACAAUCAUUUCCAAGAAAUGGAAAACUCAUACAGCCAUAAGGAAAAUGAAAAGAGGAAAUACAAACAUGGGAGGAGGGGCUGCUAAUAGAUACGAGCUCUAGGGCACCAGGAUAAAAGGUGAAUUUCUUUUCCUUUGCAAAAUUUUCUUCAUUAAGGUCUUCCUGGUGUAUACUGUUUUCUAAGCAAUAAAUUUAAACAUGGGAUACCUUGAAUUCUUUCUUUCCCUUCUGACACUUGGGGUGAUGUGAAGAUAAUAGGCCCUGCAAAUGUUACCAUCACCAGGACUUCACCUCCACCCAGGUCCUUUCCACCAGGCUGCCCUCUGGACCACACUUCCCUCAGGAGGUAGCUGUCCCCUCCUCAAAACGAGAACACCUAUUUAUCAAAAAAUGGAGCUGCUCACUGUGCCAAUCUGACAAGAGUGGCUCUCAACUGGAGACAUGAGCCUUUCAGGUCUCACCAAGGAAGCUCCCAUCUGUACCAUUUAGAAUCAUCUGAGAGGCCCAGGCCUGGAGGAGGCCACCCGUGGAGAUGUGACAGAAGGAUGGCACGACCAGGAAGGGUGUGCAAGAACAAGACCCUGUACCUUGCAUUAUGUUCCUGUCAAAACCCCAGGCUUUGCAGGAGAAAUUAGAAAAGGUGAGAUAUAUAUAUGGCAGUCCAGCUUUAGACCACCUAUGCAAACAAGUCACUCAUUGUCUGAAAGAAAUCAGGUGGAUUCUAAAAAGAAAACUGGUACAGACCUAAUGGAAAUCAGGAAAUAGGCCCAAGGAGAAUUUUAGACUUAGCUCCUUUUCCUUAUGUUUUACAGCCAAGCACAGCCAAGGGAUAAUUAAGUCUGUGUACCUGAGGAACAGGACCAGAGAUGUGUGGAGCCAAAUGAUUUGGGUUUUGGACAACUGAGUAGGAUUCCCCAGGAUUUUCUUGGAAGAACCACCAUUUGAAGGGCUGUCACUCAAUGAGAAUGAAUAUAUUUGUAGAAAAAUCUACAUUUAGUAAAACUUCCUGACUAAAACCUGUCCCAACUCAUCCUCUCAUUAGCUGUGCGACUUCAGGGAAGUUCAUUAAACUCUCUAUAUCUCAGUUUCUUCAGCUUAAAAACUAGGGUAAUAACAGCAGCUCUGCAUGUAGUCAGCAUUCCGUGUGCGUCAGCUAUUACGACCUGUGGACGGAAGAUCUCCCUGCUCCACAGAGAAGGAAGGAGCAUCACUUCAGCUGACAUCUCCAGUUCAGCUGCAUCCUAGAAUGACCCACCACCACUCUUCUCGCAGCCCGGGGCCCAGAGCUCUCUUCCCUUCAAAUCACUUGAACGGAGUAGACAUGAGUAUAAAGUAACAGCUUAACCAUCUACACUGCCUGCCUCCCCUCCUCGGCUGACGGCCAGGACAGACAGACUGUGCGUCUGUAUGUUCCAAGAGCCGGAGAAGCCUCCAGGGCUGGCCUGUCCCAGUAACUGGACUGAACAAGCCUGUAGACCAGUUUGAUCCAAAGAGACAAGCAGCUAUUUCCUUAUCAGCAGAAAGACUGGGCAGGCCACAAUGAGAAAGCAAUCACCGGAGUCUCAGAAACCUUAAGGAGACAGGAGGUCUAACGGCAGAAGGCCUCAAAGAGCAUUAAGUUAACCCAGUGUCUUCUACCAGCAGGGAGGGAGAAGAAGAAGAAAGAAGGUGGCUGUGGAAGGGGAGGGUAUGAAUAUGAAAGAUGAAGCUAACCAUGAAAAUUUAAUUUGUUAAAAUAAUGACUAGAGAAUGACAGAUAAUGCACAAAUUGUCUACAUGCAUUUAUGGAAUACAUAAUAAAUGUGUGUAUGAAUAUAUAUAACUAUAUAUGUGUGCCAUGAUAAAAAUUAAUUCCAGCUUCUAGAAAGCAUCAUUGUUUGUCUCCCUGCUGGCAAGAACCCCGGAGCACAGAGGUAAAUUUCACACUUCCUCUCGGCAGUCCCUCCACACAGACCACAUAGCUUAAGCUGCCCAGGUGAGCAAAUGUCACAGAAUGCCUAUUCAGCGGGUGGUAAAUUCCAGCCAUCCCAGGGAAAUGCCAAGUGGUCUCAGGUCACAAGUUUGGCAAAUAGCAAUUUGGGGGAGUGGGGGAGGCCCCCCCAGACGGGAGGAAGGGAACAAAAGAAACAGGGAAAGGGGGAAGGAGGGAAGGAAAUGAAAGGGGUUACAGUGUUUAGGGAAAGGCAAGAGGGCCAAAAUAUGCAAGGACUCAAACACAGAACAUUUCUCAUGCUUCCUGAGUUAAAAACAGCACCUCUGAAUCAAAGAAAGCAUGCUUCCACACAUAUCACCCAGAGCGUUAAUGAACUUGGGUUGCAAAUGACCUCUCCAGCCACACUCCUGGCCCCACGGAAUGGUCCUGUGGUGGGCACAGGGCUUUGGGAGCAAGUCUGCUGCCCAUGGUACACAACUCACGACCAUGCUGGAGGCCCCUUCCUGGGCUGCAAGCUCAUUAAGAGUAAGGGCCACAACUUACACACGUGUAUCCUCAAUCUCUUUCAUAAUGCCUCAUAGAGAGAAGUUUCAUAAAUAUUUGCUAAAGUAAUAAAUGGACCAAAAUUGAAUACAAACUGCAAUUUCAUCAUUCCCUCUAGAAGGUCGAAAAUGUAAAGGUCUAACCAGUAUUGCAAAGCUAAACCCAACCAGGACAGGAAUUCGUUUUUAACUUUUUUACUAUUCAACCUGUGGGAGAUGAGAGUUUUCCCCUAACAUCUCCAGAACAGAUGGUGUUCAAAAAUAUUUGGUCAAACUUGCUUAAAAACAAUUAGGCCUCUAUAACCUCCACUCAGGAAGGGCAACAUUCAGGAGGUAACAUUGUAGGUGAGGAGAAGGUAUAUUCAAAUGGGAUCUUGACAAGACGACCAAUCUUUGCAUAUUUAUGCCCAAAUGGAAGCCACUAGGAAGAUGCUUCUCUCUUGAGUGUAAGCCUUUAGGAGGUUAAUCCACAGCUGUGGUUAUCAAGAAUCUGAAACACCUAGAAAUGGAGGAGUCACGGUAGAGU